rnacentral:rRNA from 1 species
AUUGCGGAGGGAUCAUUA